rnacentral:rRNA from 1 species
UAUUGCACAAUGGGCGAAAGCCUGAUGCAGCAACGCCGCGUGAGUGAUGAAGGCCUUCGGGUUGUAAAGCUCUGUCUUCUGGGACGAUAAUGACGGUACCAGAGGAGGAAGCCACGGCUAACUACGUGCCAGCAGCCGCGGUAAUACGUAGGUGGCAAGCGUUGUCCGGAUUUACUGGGCGUAAAGGAUGCGUAGGCGGAUAUUUAAGUGAGAUGUGAAAAUCCCGGGCUUAACUUGGGAACUGCAUUUCAAACUGGGUAUCUAGAGUGCAGGAGAGGAAAGCGGAAUUCCUAGUGUAGCGGUGAAAUGCGUAGAGAUUAGGAAGAACACCAGUGGCGAAGGCGGCUUUCUGGACUGUAACUGACGCUGAGGCAUGAAAGCGUGGGGAGCAAACAGG